GAUAACUGUUCAGACGAGCGGUAGGAAUGAGGGAGUAACGACCUGAAACUACCCCAGUGAGAUUCCCGACUGCAUAAUCUAGGCAUAGAUUGAUGUGGAAAGCAGGGUAAAAUAUGCGAGCACCUUCCGAAGUGCCUGAAGAGGUAACCGAAAGCCAUUAGGAGUAAUAAACCUAAUGGAACUGAAGAAGUUUCGUAUGCUGUUAACCGA
rnacentral:ncRNA from 1 species